rnacentral:rRNA from 1 species
ACUUCGGUCAAGUUGAACGGAUGACUUAGUGGCGGACGGGUGAGUAACGCGUGAGGAACCUGCCUUUCAGUGGGGGACAACGGUUGGAAACGACUGCUAAUACCGCAUAAUGUAUUCUGACCGCAUGAUCGGAAUACCAAAGAUUUAUUGCUGAAAGAUGGCCUCGCGUCUGAUUAGAUAGUUGGUGAGGUAACGGCUCACCAAGUCGACGAUCAGUAGCCGGACUGAGAGGUUGAACGGCCACAUUGGGACUGAGAUACGGCCCAGACUCC